rnacentral:rRNA from 1 species
CUACAAUGGCGUAAACAAAGGGAGGCGAAGGAGCAAUCCGGAGCGAACCCCAAAAAUAAACGUCUCAGUUCGGACUGUGGUCUGCAACCCGACCACACGAAGCUGGAAUCGCUAGUAAUCGCGAAUCAGAAUGUCGCGGUGAAUACGUUCCCGGGUCUUGUACACACCGCCCGUCACACCAUGGGAGUCAGCAACGCCCGAAGUCAGUGACCUAACCGAAAGGGAGGAGCUGCCGAAGGCGGGGCCGGUAACUGGGGUGAAGUCGUAACAAGGUAGC